rnacentral:rRNA from 1 species
UACGUAGGGGGCUAGCGUUGUCCGGAAUCAUUGGGCGUAAAGAGCGUGUAGGCGGUCCGGUAAGUCCGUUGUGAAAGUCAGGGGCUCAACCCUUGAAUGCCGGCGGAUACUGUCGGGCUAGAGUCCGGAAGAGGCAAGUGGAAUUCCCGGUGUAGCGGUGAAAUGCGUAGAGAUCGGGAGGAACACCAGCGGCGAAGGCGGCCCCCUGGGCCGCUCCUGACGCUGAGACGCGAAGGCCAGGGUAGCGAACGGG